rnacentral:rRNA from 1 species
UACGUAGGGUGCAAGCGUUAAUCGGAAUUACUGGGCGUAAAGCGUGCGCAGGCGGUGAUGUAAGACAGUUGUGAAAUCCCCGGGCUCAACCUGGGAACUGCAUCUGUGACUGCAUCGCUGGAGUACGGUAGAGGGGGAUGGAAUUCCGCGUGUAGCAGUGAAAUGCGUAGAUAUGCGGAGGGACACCGAUGGCGAAGGCAAUCCCCUGGACCUGUACUGACGCUCAUGCACGAAAGCGUGGGGAGCAAACAGG